rnacentral:rRNA from 1 species
GUGUCAGCAGCCGCGGUAAGACGAACCGUGCGAACGUUGUUCGGAAUCACUGGGCUUAAAGGGCGCGUAGGCGGGCCUCCCAGUCCGGGGUGAAAGCUUUCGGCUUAACCGGAAAAGUGCCUUGGAUACUGGAGGUCUGGAGGGAGGUAGGGGCAAUCGGAACUUCCGGUGGAGCGGUGAAAUGCGUUGAUAUCGGAAGGAACGCCGGUGGCGAAAGCGGAUUGCUGGACCUUUUCUGACGCUGAGGCGCGAAAGCCAGGGGAGCGAACGGGAUUAGAUACCCCGGUAGUCC